GAUGAACGCUGGCGGCGUGCCUAAUACAUGCAAGUCGAGCGAACAGACGAGGAUCUUGCUCCUCUGACGUUAGCGGCGGACGGGUGAGUAACACGUGGAUAACCUACCUAUAAGACUGGGAUAACUUCGGGAAACCGGAGCUAAUACCGGAUAAUAUAUUGAACCGCAUGGUUCAAUAGUGAAAGACGGUUUUACUGUCACUUAUAGAUGGAUCCGCGCCGCAUUAGCUAGUUGGUAAGGUAACGGCUUACCAAGGCAACGAUGCGUAGCCGACCUGAGAGGGUGAUCGGCCACACUGGAACUGAGACACGGUCCAGACUCCUACGGGAGGCAGCAGUAGGGAAUCUUCCGCAAUGGGCGAAAGCCUGACGGAGCAACGCCGCGUGAGUGAUGAAGGUCUUCGGAUCGUAAAACUCUGUUAUUAGGGAAGAACAAAUGUGUAAGUAACUAUGCACGUCUUGACGGUACCUAAUCAGAAAGCCACGGCUAACUACGUG
rnacentral:rRNA from 1 species